rnacentral:tRNA from 1 species
CUGGGUGUAGCUCAGCUUGGCCAGAGCGCGCCGUUCGGGACGGUGAGGUCGCGGGUUCGAAUCCCGCUACUCAGAC